AGUGUUUAAGGACCCUGGGUGUUCCAGGCAGGGAGGUGGAAGCGGAGGUUGAAGUAAAACUGGAAUUGGAUUUGGCAGGCAUAAAUGACUGACUGCAUCAUGGAAUUAUCUACAGCUAUGUGACUUUGGGGACUUGCUUCCUUUCUCUGGGCCUCAGUUUCUCCUUCGACAAACCAGGAAUAAUUCCUAAGUUUCUUUCCAGGAUUGAACAGAUAAAUAAAUGUGGUGAUGUUGAUGGAAGCCAGAGUUUUCACUGUGAUAAAACGGAAUAUGGAAGGAGGGAAGACAAAGAAAACCUUACAGGGUUAGAUUGGAAUUGGAGAUAUCAGUAGGAACAGGUAUUUCCUGAGUCUGUUGAAAGUGCAAGACACAGUGACACCUCAGGAAUAACGAGCAUACUUAAAGCCUAGAUGUUGGUUUCUAAAUGUCAUUCU
rnacentral:lncRNA from 1 species